CCUACGGGGCGCAGCAGUGAGGAAUAUUGGACAAUGGACGGAAGUCUGAACCAGCCAUGCCGCGUGAAGGAAGACGGCUCUAUGAGUUGUAAACUGCUUUUGUACAAGGGUAAACCUGAAUACGUGUAUUCAGCUGAACGUACUGUACGAAUAAGGAUCGGCUAACACCGUGCAAGCAGCCGCGGUAAUACGGAGGAUCCAAGCGUUAUCCGGAUUUAUUGGGUUUAAAGGGUGCGUAGGCGGAUUGAUAAGUUAGAGGUGAAAUGUCCGCGCUUAACUCGGGAAUUGCCUCUAAUACUGUUUGUCUAGAGAGUAGUUGCGGUAGGCGGAAUGCAUGGUGUAGCGGUGAAAUGCUUAGAGAUCAUACAGAACACCGAUUGCGAAGGCAGCUUACCAAUCUAUAUCUGACGUUGAGGCACGAAAGCGUGGGGAGCAAACAGGAUUAGAUACCCUAGUAGUC
rnacentral:rRNA from 1 species